rnacentral:rRNA from 1 species
UACGAAGGGGGCUAGCGUUGCUCGGAAUCACUGGGCGUAAAGCGCACGUAGGCGGAUUGUUAAGUCGGGGGUGAAAUCCUGGAGCUCAACUCCAGAACUGCCUUCGAUACUGGCGAUCUUGAGUCCGGGAGAGGUGAGUGGAACUCCGAGUGUAGAGGUGAAAUUCGUAGAUAUGGGGAGGAACACCGGUGGCGAAGGCGACCAUCUGGACGGAUACUGACGCUGAGACGCGAAAGCGUGGGUAGCAAACAGG